rnacentral:rRNA from 1 species
CGUGAAACCGGUGAGAUCGAAACGGAUAGAGCCAGCGUAUCUGGCCUGUAUUCAACCGUUGAGCUGAUGCCGGCGGGGUUGUCGUUUCCAGACUGGGGCGCGGUCUUGUCUGGUGUUGGUGUGAUGGUGCAUUUGCAGGUGGUGUGCGCCGAGGCGCUCAGGGCAGCGGUAUGAGCUCAGUUUUGAGGCCAGCCCGCAAGGGUCUGGUACCCGGACUGGGGGAGUGUUGUUUGCUCUGGGUGUGCUUGAGAGGCAUGGCUCACGGGCUCGUGUGGGUGCCGAGCUGGAAAUCGGUUACGGUCGCAUGCGACACGUGCCGGUGGCUAGUUCGGUCCUGUUCGAGUUCUCAUGCUCAUCCUCGGUGUAAAAGCUGGUCAUCUAUCCGACCCGUCUUGAAACACGGACCAAGGAGUUUAUCGUGUGCGCGAGUCAUUGGGUGUUGAAAACCCAAAGGCGAAAUGAAAGUGAAGGUGCCCGCAAGGGGCUGACGUGCGAUCCGGUCUGUCUCGGCAAGCCGGCGCAGCAUGGCCCCAUCCUAACUGCUUGCAGUGGGGUGGAGGUAGAGCGUACGCGAUGAGACCCGAAAGAUGGUGAACUAUUCCUGAGCAGGACGAAGCCAGAGGAAACUCUGGUGGAAGUCCGAAGCGAUUCUGACGUGCAAAUCGAUCGUCUGACUUGGGUAUAGGGGCGAAAGACUAAUCGAACCAUCUAG